AUGAGAUCUUCACUGGCCCUGCUCCUCCUCCUCGGAGCAGCCAUCGCCCCUAUCCUCACAACCGGCGUCUCCCCUGCCGUCAACACGAGCGUGCUCUCGCCUGGCCCGACGCCCGGCUCUGCGAACGACACGCUGCAGCGCGGCAUCAUCGCCACCAACCAGAUCGCGCAUAACGUGACGGCUACGCUGGGCAUCAUCUCCGACCUGGUGCGCGACCUCAACACCUGCACCAGACUCUACAUGACCAUGGCCAAGAAGGUGGCCGCCGCCCUGGACGACCUUCACGCCGGACGCGUCGACAACGCGGCCGAUAAGCUGACCGACACCGUGGGUGCGCCUAUUGACUGCGACAUGGUGCUGAUGGGCAUUGGAGAGAUCGAGAAGGUCCCUCGUGAUCCCAUUCAAAGCGAGAAUGUCGAGAACGAUCGACUCAUCCAAUCAGCCAUCGACAUCUUGGACCCGCCGAGUAGCUAG
rnacentral:rRNA from 1 species